rnacentral:lncRNA from 1 species
UAUUACUAAUACAAUAUAUUCAAUAUUAUCUUAUACACUCUACUAAUCUCAAUAUUACUAAUACAAUAUAUUCAAUAUUAUCUUAUACACUCUACCAAACGAGGGGCUUAAAGCAAGCAGGAGGCGAUUGUCUUACCAGCUUAGCCAAGGACAAUUUUGUCAUUUCAUAUAUUUUGACAAGCACACAACCUCUCCAAGGACAUUUCUGUCCUGUCACAGCAACAUCAACCAUCGCAAAAAUCACCAUUUCAAGGAUUCAACGCCGCCAAAGAUAAAGCUAAUAAAUUAAUGCAUUAACAUGCUACCAUCAACAUUCAUUUCUAAUAAAGUAAAAAAGAAAUACCAUCAAAUCCGACAAUACAACAUCUCAAUACUCAAGAAGAAAAUUACUGUUAAAUCAAAAAUUCUCUCUUCAUAACUGUUGAAUUCAAAACAAAAUUUACAAAAAAAUGACAAAAAAACAAACUUCGCUAACAAAAAUCAACAAAUCUAGACAAACAUCUCUUCAUAACUGUUAAAUUCAAAAUAAAAUUUACAAAAAAAUGAAAAAAAAAAAUUCGCUAAAAAAAAUCAACAAUUCUACACAGAUAAAGAAGAAAGAGAGAGCAGAUUGAGUAUACUCAAAUGAAUUUUAAUGUAAUAGAUUUAUAACAGCAGGAAACUUUCUUCUCUUUUGUUUCUUUUCUUCCAAAAUGGAAGACGAUAAUGUAAUGGCCAUGGGUAUUCCCGGCCAUUGUUUGACGGUGGAAGCGCGGCCAUGGUUUGACGGUGGAGGAGAUGGGGGUAGGAAGAGGAUAGAAGGAGAUUGGCAGCUGGACUUCAGGAUAAGAGAAAAAUGAGUCCAUUAACCUCUCAAUUCUUUAAUUAAAAAAAAUAAAUAAAUAAGUGGAUUCCUCAAUUGUAUUAAAUCAAAAAAAAUUAAAUUUUUUGAAUAAUUGAAAUAAUUAUUCGACAAUUGUAUUAGUUGUCUCAACAACUUGCACAUUUGAUAGUUGUUGAAUAACUUCACAAAGUUAUUAAACAGCUAUCAAAGUUGUUCGAUAAUUGAG